UACGGAGGGUGCAAGCGUUAAUCGGAAUUACUGGGCGUAAAGCGCACGCAGGUGGUCAAUUAAGCUAGAAGUGAAAGCCCUGCGCUCAACGUGGGAAGGCCUUUUAGAACUGGUUGACUAGAGUCUUGGAGAGGAGAGUGGAAUUUCAGGUGUAGCGGUGAAAUGCGUAGAUAUCUGAAGGAACAUCAGUGGCGAAGGCGACUCUCUGGCCAAAGACUGACACUCAUGUGCGAAAGUGUGGGUAGCGAACAGG
rnacentral:rRNA from 1 species